rnacentral:lncRNA from 1 species
GCAUAAGGAGGCCAUAUGGAAGUCAAGAGACAGAACAUCCUAUUUUGCCAGGAUCUUAUCAUGACAGGUACUUUUCCAAUGUCUUUGCAUUUUACCCAAGCUCUGAGUGAAGCAUGAAUGGCCCUGCCUUCCAUUAUGGGAUUUCUAGGCAUCAGUGUUCAGAGUUACAGGCAAAGAGUUCCAGACAAGGUUCUGAGUACUUUUAAAAAAAUCCUCAAAGCAAUCAUACAAUGGAGCACAGCAGAAGAAAAAGAGAUUCAGAGUGGUUGAGUAACUUGCCCAAAGAUCCCACAGCUGGUAAGUGACAAAUGUAGAAUUCAAGCCCACUCAGGCUGGG